CACAAGCGGUGGAUGAUGUGGUUAAUUCGAUGCAACGCGAAAACCUUACCACCUUGACAUGUACGGAACCCUUUAGAGAGUAGAGGGGUGCUCGAAAGAGAGCCGUAACACAGGUGCUGCAUGGCUGUCGUCAGCUCGUGUCGUGAGAUGUUGGGUUAAGUCCCGCAACGAGCGCAACCCUUGUCAUUAGUUGCUACAUUCAGUUGGGCACUCUAAUGAGACUGCCGGUGACAAGCCGGAGGAAGGUGGGGAUGACGUCAAGUCCUCAUGGCCCUUAUAGGUGGGGCUACACACGUCAUACAAUGGCUGGUACAAAGGGUUGCCAACCCGCGAGGGGGGAGCCAAUCCCAUAAAGCCAGUCGUAGUCCGGAUUGUUCUCUGCAACUCGAGAGCAUGAAGUCGGAAUCGCUAGUAAUCGCGGAUCAGCAUGUCGCGGUGAAUACGUUCCCGGGUCUU
rnacentral:rRNA from 1 species